rnacentral:lncRNA from 1 species
GGUCCCUUGAUGUGUUACUUUAUUAAAAGUAACGUUCAGAAUAUGAUAAAAAAGCAUAGUCCAAUUAACAAAUAUAUUAAAUUAGGCUCGAACUGGCUAGUGUGGCACUUGCCACACUGGGUCUACGUCAGGUCUGCCCCUGCUAACACCUUUCGAUGUUCUUCUCUUGGUUUACUCUUCACUUCCUAUCUUAGAAAUUCCAUUUCAAUUUUG